rnacentral:rRNA from 1 species
AUUGAACGCUGGCGGCAGGCUUAACACAUGCAAGUCGAACGGUAGCAGGAGAAAGCUUGCUUUCUUGCUGACGAGUGGCGGACGGGUGAGUAAUGCUUGGGAAUCUGGCUUAUGGAGGGGGAUAACUACGGGAAACUGUAGCUAAUACCGCGUAGAAUCGGAAGAUGAAAGUGCGGGACCGCAAGGCCGCAUGCCAUGAGAUGAGCCCAAGUGGGAUUAGGUAGUUGGUGGGGUAAGGGCCUACCAAGCCUGCGAUCUCUAGCUGGUCUGAGAGGAUGGCCAGCCACACUGGAACUGAGACACGGUCCAGACUCCUACGGGAGGCAGCAGUGGGGAAUAUUGCGCAAAGGGGGGAACCCUGACGCAGCCAUGCCGCGUGAAUGAAGAAGGCCUUCGGGUUGUAAAGUUCUUUCGGUAUUGAGGAAGGUUGAUGUGUUAAUAGUACAUCAAAUUGACGUUAAAUACAGAAGAAGCACCGGCUAACUCCGUG